rnacentral:misc_RNA from 1 species
UACUACAGCUUGGCUCUGGGGAU